AUCCUUUUGUAGUUCAUAAAUAUGAUGAUUGAGGUUUCAUGCUCAUGUGUGAGACGUGCCUCCCCUCAAACCUUGUUACACUGUUGGCACAUUACCCAUUUGACA